CGUAGGGUGCGAGCGUUAAUCGGUAUUACUGGGCGUAAAGCGUGCGCAGGCGGUUUAGUAAGACAGGCGUGAAAUCCCCGGGCUCAACCUGGGAACUGCGCUUGUGACUGCUAAGCUAGAGUACGGCAGAGGGGGGUGGAAUUCCACGUGUAGCAGUGAAAUGCGUAGAGAUGUGGAGGAACACCAAUGGCGAAGGCAGCCCCCUGGGUCGAUACUGACGCUCAUGCACGAAAGCGUGGGUAGCAAACAGGAUUAGAUACCCUGGUAGUCCACGCCCUAAACGAUGUCAACUAGGGUGUUGGGAGGGUAAAACCUUUUAGUACCGGAGCUAACGCGUGAAGUUGACCGCCUGGGGAGUACGGCCGCAAGGUUA
rnacentral:rRNA from 1 species